rnacentral:rRNA from 1 species
GACGAACGCUGGCGGCGUGCCUAAUACAUGCAAGUAGAACGCUGAAGGAGGAGCUUGCUUCUCUGGAUGAGUUGCGAACGGGUGAGUAACGCGUAGGUAACCUGCCUGGUAGCGGGGGAUAACUAUUGGAAACGAUAGCUAAUACCGCAUAAUAGUAGAUGUUGCAUGACAUUUGCUUAAAAGGUGCAAUUGCAUCACUACCAGAUGGACCUGCGUUGUAUUAGCUAGUUGGUGGGGUAACGGCUCACCAAGGCGACGAUACAUAGCCGACCUGAGAGGGUGAUCAGCCAAACUGGGACUGAGACACGGCCCAGACGCCUACGGGAGGCAGCAGUAGGGAAUCUUCGGCAAUGGACGGAAGUCUGACCGAGCAACGCCGCGUGAGUGAAGAAGGUUUUCGGAUCGUAAAGCUCUGUUGUAAGAGAAGAACGAGUGUGAGAGUGGAAAGUUCACACUGUGACGGUAUCUUACCAGAAAGGGACGGCUAACUACGUG